rnacentral:rRNA from 1 species
UGGGGAAUAUUGCACAAUGGGCGCAAGCCUGAUGCAGCCAUGCCGCGUGUGUGAAGAAGGCCUUCGGGUUGUAAAGCACUUUCAGCGAGGAGGAAGGCAGUCGUGUUAAUAGCACGAUUGAUUGACGUUACUCGCAGAAGAAGCACCGGCUAACUCCGUGCCAGCAGCCGCGGUAAUACGGAGGGUGCAAGCGUUAAUCGGAAUUACUGGGCGUAAAGCGCACGCAGGCGGUUUGUUAAGUCAGAUGUGAAAUCCCCGCGCUUAACGUGGGAACUGCAUUUGAAACUGGCAAGCUAGAGUCUUGUAGAGGGGGUUAGAAUUCCAGGUGUAGCGGUGAAAUGCGUAGAGAUCUGGAGGAAUACCGGUGGCGAAGGCGGCCCCCUGGACAAAGACUGACGC